GACGAACGCUGGCGGCGUGCUUAACACAUGCAAGUCGAGCGGUAAGGCCCUUUCGGGGGUACGACGAGCGGCGAACGGGUGAGUAACACGUGGGUGACCUGCCCUUAGCUCUGGGAUAAGCCUGGGAAACUGGGUCUAAUACCGGAUAUGACUCCAUGACGCAUGUUGUGGGGUGGAAAGCCUUGUGCGGCUAGGGAUGGGCCCGCGGCCUAUCAGCUUGUUGGUGGGGGUGAUGGCCUACCAAGGCGACGACGGGUAGCCGGCCUGAGAGGGCGACCGGCCACACUGGGACUGAGACACGGCCCCAGACUCCUACGGGAGGGCAGCAGUGGGGAAUCUUGCGCAAUGGGCGAAAGCCUGACGCAGCGACGCCGCGUGAGGGAUGACGGCC
rnacentral:rRNA from 1 species